rnacentral:rRNA from 1 species
CAGUGGGGAAUUCUUCACAAUGGGUGAAAGCCUGAUGGAGCACCUUCGCGAGAGGGAGGAAGGUCUAUGGAUUGUCAACUUCUUUUCUCAAGGAAGAAGUUCUGACGGUUCAAGAGGAAUCAGCCUCGGCAGUAUCAAUGCCAGCAGCCGCGGUAAUACGGGGGAGGCAAGCGUUAUCCGGAAUUAUUGGGCGUAAAGCGUCCGCAGCUGGUCAUCCAAGUAUGGUGUCAAUCCAGGGUGCUUAACGGCCUAAAGGCGGUGGAAAAUGGCAGCCUAGAUAGCAGUAGGGGUAGCACGUAUUUCCAGUGUAGCGGUGAAAUGCGUAGAGAAAGCGAAGAACAUCCCAGGGGACAGUCAUCCAGCGGGCUGCAUGGGACAAUCAGGGACGACAGCUAGGGGAGCGAAAGGGAUUAGAUACCCCCGUAGGC